UGCCCAGAAUGAAUAUCACAAGCAAGAACACGAUUUGCACCUGCUUCUGUAAUAAGGUUUGCAACAAGUUUGGCUGCAAUAGAUUCACGACCUUGAGUCUUUCUAUCAGCUCUGGCAUAUCCAAAAUAGGGAAUCACAGCAGUGAUAUUCUUGGCUGAUGCUCUCCUACAGGCAUCUAUCAUGAUCAAAAGCUCCGUGAGAUUCUCAUUUGCUGGGGGGCAAGUGGGCUGUAGUAAAUAUACAUCACAUCCUCUAACACUCUCUU
rnacentral:misc_RNA from 1 species